rnacentral:rRNA from 1 species
UACGUAGGGUGCAAGCGUUGUCCGGAAUUAUUGGGCGUAAAGAGCUCGUAGGCGGUUUGUCGCGUCUGCUGUGAAAACUCGGGGCUUAACCCCGGGCCUGCAGUGGGUACGGGCAGACUAGAGUGCGGCAGGGGAGACUGGAAUUCCUGGUGUAGCGGUGAAAUGCGCAGAUAUCAGGAGGAACACCGGUGGCGAAGGCGGGUCUCUGGGCCGUAACUGACGCUGAGGAGCGAAAGCGUGGGGAGCGAACAGG